AUUGAACGCUGGCGGCAGGCCUAACACAUGCAAGCCGAGCGGCAGCGGGAAAGUAGCUUGCUACUUUUGCCGGCGAGCGGCGGACGGGUGAGUAAUGCCUGGGGAUCUGCCCAGUCGAGGGGGAUAACAGUUGGAAACGACUGCUAAUACCGCAUACGCCCUACGGGGGAAAGGAGGGGACCUUCGGGCCUUUCGCGAUUGGAUGAACCCAGGUGGGAUUAGCUAGUUGGUGGGGUAAUGGCUCACCAAGGCGACGAUCCCUAGCUGGUCUGGGAGGAUGAUCAGCCACACUGGAACUGAGACACGGUCCAGACUCCUACGGGAGGCAGCAGUGGGGAAUAUUGCACAAUGGGGGAAACCCUGAUGCAGCCAUGCCGCGUGUGUGAAGAAGGCCUUCGGGUUGUAAAGCACUUUCAGCGAGGAGGAAAGGUUGUUGGCUAAUAUCCAGCAACUGUGACGUUACUCGCAGAAGAAGCACCGGCUAACUCCGUGCCAGCCGCCGCAGUAA
rnacentral:rRNA from 1 species